GGCUGGUCCGAUGGUUAUCAAAACUUAUUAACACUAGUGUCACUAAAGUUGGUAUUCAACCCCCCACUGCUAAAUUUGACUGGAUUUAA
rnacentral:Y_RNA from 1 species